rnacentral:rRNA from 1 species
UACAGAGGUCUCAAGCGUUGUUCGGAUUCAUUGGGCGUAAAGGGUGUGUAGGUGGCGCCGUAAGUCGGGUGUGAAAUUUCGGAGCUUAACUCCGAAACUGCAUUCGAUACUGCGGUGCUUGAGGACUGGAGAGGAGACUGGAAUUCAUGGUGUAGCAGUGAAAUGCGUAGAGAUCAUGAGGAAGACCAGUGGCGAAGGCGGGUCUCUGGACAGUUCCUGACACUGAGAGCACGAAGGCCAGGGGAGCAAAACGGG